rnacentral:tRNA from 1 species
CUCUGGUUAGCUCAGUUGGUGGAGCGCUCCAUGCACUUGUAAUGGAGAGGUCCCGGGUUCGAUACCCGGACCAGGCG